rnacentral:rRNA from 1 species
AUUGAACGCUGGCGGCAGGCUUAACACAUGCAAGUCGAGCGGAGAUGAGGUGCUUGCACCUUAUCUUAGCGGCGGACGGGUGAGUAAUGCUUAGGAAUCUGCCUAUUAGUGGGGGACAACAUUCCGAAAGGAAUGCUAAUACCGCAUACGUCCUACGGGAGAGAGCAGGGGAUCUUCGGACCUCGCGCUAAUAGAUGAGCCUAAGUCGGAUUAGCUAGUUGGUGGGGUAAAGGCCUACCAAGGCGACGAUCUGUAGCGGGUCUGAGAGGAUGAUCCGCCACACUGGGACUGAGACACGGCCCAGACUCCUACGGGAGGCAGCAGUGGGGAAUAUUGGACAAUGGGGGGAACCCUGAUCCAGCCAUGCCGCGUGUGUGAAGAAGGCCUUAUGGUUGUAAAGCACUUUAAGCGAGGAGGAGGCUACUGAGACUAAUACUCUUGGAUAGUGGACGUUACUCGCAGAAUAAGCACCGGCUAACUCUGUGCCAGCCGCCGCAGUAAUAC